rnacentral:rRNA from 1 species
AUCAUUAGACAAGUAAUCUCGGAUCGAAUUCUCAGAACGCACAGGCGCUGGACUAUUCGUCAGGCACACGCUAGGAUAAGAAACAUUUAGACAGCAUGCGACUUGUCAUAGCCAUGCCGGUUUACGAGGACUGGGAAUCCGCUGCUCU